UGAGGAAUAUUGGUCAAUGGACGAGAGUCUGAACCAGCCAAGUCGCGUGAAGGAUGACUGCCCUACGGGUUGUAAACUUCUUUUAUAAGAGAGUAAAAGACGGCACGUGUGCUGUAUUGCAAGUAUCUUAUGAAUAAGCAUCGGCUAACUCCGUGCCAGCAGCCGCGGUAAUACGGAGGAUGCGAGCGUUAUCCGGAUUUAUUGGGUUUAAAGGGUGCGUAGGCGGUUUAUUAAGUCAGCGGUGAAAGUUUUAGGCUCAACCUAAAAAUUGCCGUUGAAACUGGUAGACUUGAGUGUAUAUGAAGUGGGCGGAAUUUGUGGUGUAGCGGUGAAAUGCAUAGAUAUCACGAGGAACUCCAAUUGCGAAGGCAGCUCACUAAGAUACAACUGACGCUGAGGCACGAAAGCGUGGGUAUCCAACAGG
rnacentral:rRNA from 1 species